CAUUUCUAUCAUAUUUCUUUUAUAUUCCCUGUCAGCAUUUUGUUUAAAUAUUAUUCUCUUGAUUAUUAUCUGGCUAUCAUUUCUGAAAUUUCAAAAAAAUGCUGGCUUGGCGUCCAACAUUAUCAUAUUGGCUAAACAGUUGGAACAUGUAAACCUUGCCUAAUUCUAAUUUGUGAACAACUUGUCAAACAAAAAAUUACGCGUCCUUUAACGUACGAGAACCUUCUAGAAGCGAAGCACUGGAAAAAUUUGGUAGAAUCAAUAGCUGCCAUUUAAUUGAAAAGUGUUUGCGUCGUUUGAUGUCUAGAGCUACAAAGAAAACAAAAUCAUUGUGUGGUCCUACAAAAAAAAACAGAGUUUUGCCGGCAAAAUUGAGGACAAGGGAACUUAUAGACUCGGAUUUCAAAUAAAAUAAAUUUGAGCAGAAGCCAGAAAGGGUGAGCCAAGCGAAAAGGAAACAAAAGGAAGCAGAUUUGGAUGUAAUCGAUUUAGAAGAAGGAAGUUCGUCGCCAUCGUCAACAAGUUCUACUCGAUCGUCUGUUUGCAGUAAAAGCCAAUCUAGUCAAAUUACCACUCAGUCAUCGACGUCAACGCCAACUAAACAAUUUAAUCCUCUAAAAGCUGCUUUUUAAAAAGCGUGUUCCCAAAAAGGUACGAAAUUUACAGUAGUAAUUGAUAUACACCUUUUUAUUAAUAAAACGGAAGGUACUCGCAAUCUGGCACGUAUCGCACGCACACCAUCUUCAAAAGAGACACAACUCAAAAAUCAGAUCCGAAAAUAUAACUGUUUGUGGAUCGUACGGAUUCAAUGCAAUUAAUAC